GCCGAGAUAGCUCAGUUGGUUAGAGCAUGCGGUUCAUACCCGCAGUGUCGGAGGUUCGAAUCCUCUUCUCGGUA
rnacentral:tRNA from 1 species